rnacentral:lncRNA from 1 species
UGGUUUGAAAUGAAUUAAGAUUUGUUUUGAUGUAUGUUUUUAAUAAAUAGCUAUAUUAUUUAAUGCUUUCUUUAUUCAAUAAAAGAGAAACAAUACAACAAAUUAAUACAUAUGGCAACUCUUUGAAUACAACCUAAUGGUUUUGAUUAUUUAACCAAUCCAUAUUGCUAGGUCCAUCGUCAGGGAAAAGCUUUCUUCUCAUAACAUCCCUUGUUUUAGCUUCCAAUAGGACUUUGUUUCAGGAGACAUAUGGCUCAUAUCCAUGGCCAUGAUUUCAUCUCUCUGUCCUCCAUGUCUUAUUCUUG